rnacentral:rRNA from 1 species
UACGGAGGGUGCGAGCGUUGUCCGGAAUCACUGGGCGUAAAGGGCGCGUAGGCGGCGCGGGGAGUCAACGGUGAAGCUCGGCGCUCAACGCCGAGUCGGCCGUCGAUACUCCCGUGCUUGAGCACUGUAGAGGCAGGUGGAAUUCCGGGUGUAGCGGUGGAAUGCGUAGAGAUCCGGAAGAACACCCGGUGGCGAAGGCGGCCUGCUGGG